GGCGGGGUUGGAGGAGGCCGCUCGGAGGAAGUGAUGGAAGCUGAGGAAACAGGAAGAGCGGCGGCGGCGGAUACAAACGUGACAAAAAACAUUUACACAUCAGCCUUUAGAGAUUUACUGUUCAGCAUUCUGACUACAUAGCACUGCUAUCAAACUUCAGGAUGUGGGUGGACACAAUCUACUUCCCUCUGAAUCAGUGCAUCCACAAAGGACACCUUUAUCCAGUAGAUAUUUUAGCAGGUAAUCCUGAGGUUAUCCAAGAAGCAGCUGAGGCCUACUAUGAGAAACUUUUGCAGCGAGCUUCAUCAUCUCCUGAGUUUUUUUCCAUUCCUGGUGGAGAGAAGGUUAAACUUGAAGAUUCCUGUGUACGUUUCCUUCCUGUGUACCGAGAAGACCCAAAAUAUAAAAUUUUGGUGUUAACAGAUCCACAGGCUAAAGAAAGAGUUUUGGCAAUUUACCUUAACCAGUCCUGGUGGCCCAUUGAAGAUAUAGUGAAGACAGCUGAUUCCUCUAGAGAAGGGCUUAUACAGGUCCAAACAUCUGGAGAAAGGAUUGUCCUCUUUGUUCUCAACUCCAUUAUUUUUGGAAUGUUAGAAAGGAGUUCAGCUAAUGAUACAUUCUUUGUAUCUCAUUCCGCCAAGGAGUCUGCCAAAAUAUUCUGGAGGAAUGGAGAUGCUGUUGCCUUUUACACAGUCAAAAUAAAAGGAAGCCUGUGUGAUGUUAACACCAGUCAAUGCUACCUGCUUCCAGUUCUGGAUACUGUAUUUGUCCGGAGAAAGUACAGACGGUGCGGCCUAGGGAUGAAAAUUCUGCAUGAUUUCUGUCAAUCUUUUGUGACCGAAGAUGCCUUGGGGAUCAGCUGCCCUAUUUCUGCUGACAUGUACCAAGUUUGCCAGAAAUUCUUGCAGACCCAUCCAGAGGAGCAGAAUCGACUGUGGGAGGUGGAAGCACCAGGGGACUGGAGCCAGCGUGUUAGUAUCUGGUUAAAGAUUCAGCUGGAACUCGCCCUUUCAGAAAAAAACACAGUUCAUCAGACUGCUUCAGAGGAGGAAGGAGGCUGUCAGGUAGAGAGAGCUCAGGAUGAUGACCUCAGACACUUAGAUGCAGGCCAGAUGAAUGAGGGAGGCGAAUGCAUUCCCGAUAUUAGGAAAGUGCCACAAGAAGCCAGAGACGACAAAGAUAACACAGCAGGAGAAGCAAGGUCGUUACACCUCCAAGUUCCCAAGGAGGAGGACUUUAGUCAAGGUUUUGUACAGUACUCAUUACUGUAGUGUCUGAGCACAUCAUAUGCGGUAAUGGAUUUAUCCUCACAACAGUUCAAAAAGGUAAAGUGUAUUCCAAAAGAAAACCAGCUCAUUUAGCUCAAUAACCAAAUUGGAAUGGUUUAAAUAUGAAGCCAUGAAAUCACAUCUUUUGGUGUCCUUUGCUAUGGAUGAAAAAGAAAAGAGAGUUUCAAGCAUUGUCUGCCUAACAGGAUCACUGCCAAGAUUUACAUAUUAAUGAUGCUAUGGAUAGAGAAGAAAUGAAUAUUUCCAAGUAGAAAAUCCUUUUCAGCAAACCCAACACUGAUCUGUGUAAAUAAGAAUGCUGCCGGCUAAAAUUAAUGGUUAGUUAUUAGCUUAUUUUGUCCCUUAUGCUUUUGCUGUUACAGAUCAUGCAACAUAAUUUAAAUGCACUAAAUACAAAACUACAAUUUCAUUACAAGCGUCUUUGUUAGUUUUCACUUGUUUUUCGAUUUAAUGCUAAAGUCCCAGUUUAAUUACCUGUUUGCCUUAGCCUUUGUCAUUGUUCUAUUGAGUUUUUCUGUUGUGAGCUUAUUUCAAACCAUCUCUUCUGAUUUAAAUUUAACACGAAGAUAUCAUUUUUAGAAGAUCAAUAAUCUCCAUCCAAAAAGAUUCUUUUCUCCCAUCCUGUUGGUGCAUAGACAAAGUUGA